rnacentral:rRNA from 1 species
UAAUGCGUGACCAACCUCGCCCCAUGCUCCAGAAUAGCUCUUGGAAACGGGUGGUAAUGCUGGAUGCUCCAACUUGACGCAUGUCUUGUUGGGAAAGUGUUAGUGGCAUGGGAUGGGGUCGCGUCCUAUCAGCUUGUAGGCGGGGUAAUGGCCCACCUAGGCUUCGACGGGUAGCCGGCCUGAGAGGGCGGACGGCCACAUUGGGACUGAGAUACGGCCCAGACUCCUACGGGAGGCAGCAGCU